GAGGGUAUAGCUCAAGUGGUAGAGCAUAUGCUUAGCUUGCAUGUGGCCCUGUGUUCAAUCCCCAGUACCUCCU
rnacentral:tRNA from 1 species